rnacentral:lncRNA from 1 species
UUUGCUAUGGGUAAAUUGGAUUGGGUGUGAAUGAGUGUUUGUUUUUAUCAUGUUCCAUAAAAUUCGCAGAUUGUCAUUCAUAUGAAAAUAGAGAGGGGUUUUCAAUCAAAGCUUCCAAUCGAAAGCUUUUCACAUACUGAACAUUUUCUGUAUUAACAUCUUAAGUUUAUACAUUCACUCUAUUGCUUUUUAUGAGACCAAACUUUAAAUGAAGCUAAAGCAAAUACUAGCAACAGCAGACCAACCAAGCAUGGGUCCAAAUGUGCUAUGGGUUAUUUUUAAGGGAGUACAUUGUGUGAAAUGAAUAAUCAUACUCUUGAGUUAUUGGCUCUGAGGUCAGAUUUUUAUACAUAUGGCCCCCGAGACAUGGCAAGUUGCAACACAAAAUGAGUGGGCUUGCCAUCAUCUCCUGCCUCUGCUUCUAUGUUUUCCCUUUUCACCUCUGUCUCUGAAACCACCUUUGUAUUCUAUCUUAAGCUUGUCUGUGUCCUUAUUUUGCUUCAGCAUUUAAGAUAAAUGUAUUUCAAAAAUCCAUGCUGAUGAAAGAUGGUUAAGAAAAAGAGAGUAUGAGGUUGUAUAAGGUUGGAGUUUGCAGCCCGGGCAACCACAAACAUAAGAAUAGAAGAGCAACUUUCAUUUGGCUAGUUUCAUCUGAGUGAACAAGAAUACCAAUUUCAUAAAAAUGCUAGACACAUGCUCAUCAAAAUGUAAUAGAAACAACACUAAAAGUACAAUAAGCUGUUAAACUAGACAUUGCAUAUGUUAUAGAUGCAAUAAAGACAUUAACAUUAUUAGAAAUAUUAAAAAAGAAAAAGCCAUACUCAAGGAAUAAGCUUGAAUCUUAAAAUUAAAAGACAGGGGUGCUGGAGAGAUGGCUCAGCGGUUAAGAGCUCUGACUGUUCUUCCAGAGGUCCUCAGUUCAAUUCCCAGCAACCACAUGGUGGCUCACAACCUUCUGUAAUGGGACCCGAUGCCCUCUUCUCGUGUACCCAUAUAUAUAUAUAUAUAUAUAUAUAUACACACACACACAUAUAUAUAUAUAAUAAAUCUUUAAAAAUAAAUUUAAAAAGACAGAAAGGAAAGAAGGAAGGAACAGAAUAAGAGCAAUAUUGCCAGAUAAGAUCUUCUAUGCCUGUACUUCUAGUAUUUGUUGAUUUCUGUUCAGCAUGAAGUAGUUUUACAUUUUGUUGGAAGAGUGGGGAGAAAAGAAGAAACCUGGCCUUGUUUUCCUGGGAACAUGAUUUCGACAGUAUAGGUCUGAGAGCUUUUUGUAUCUGUUGUCAUACCUUUUGUGGGGUCAAACUAAUAGUCAUGGAUUGAGUACUCCUAAGAACAGAUGUUGAAAUGUCAAUUCAUAUGCCAAAAGGCUCUUGGUGAGUCUUCAUUGGCAGCACUUGUGCAGAGAAAUGGGAAGUUGGCUAAGUAAAGUUGUGGUACACCCAUGCCAAGGUAUUAAAGCUCUGAAGCUGAGGUUGCCCAUUAGUUAUCCCACUGGAAGUUUGGAAUGAUCAUGUUUUUAUACUUGGCUGCUACCAGACGUUGGAUACAGGAUGCCCUGGAGAGGAGGCCCACCCAACCUUAAGUCAGGUAUCUCUCUUCUACCAACAACUCUCCCAUCAGCAGAAGUAAGCUCUUUGGUACCAAAGAAUGAUCUAGCUGCACAAAGCAGCAUCCCUGCACAGCCUCUAACCAAGAUGGUUGGCUUGUUUGCCAAGUGAUGCUCAAUAAACAGUGCACUAGAAUUUAACUGGUCCUGACUACGAUCCAGUUCCUUAUACCUAACUGCCAUGUCCCUCCUUUAUUGCUAUCCUCCCAUGUUACUUUGGUCAGAUGCAGAGGGUAAGCUCCCAAUCAGCCAGUUAUCUAUAUGGUAACUCCCACCAUUUAAAAUGAGGAGCAGUGAGGGCAAGAACAGCAUUGGUGGUUUGGAAUCCAGUUGACAUAAUUUGCUACUCAAAUCAAAGUAGCUUUGAGACUUACAAAGCUGGGCAUGUGAAAACUCACACAGGGCAGAUGACAAUCCUGAAGCUGCUAAAACAGCAGGCUUUAUUUUUACAAACCCAGGACUUUGUUGCAAACCUCACCUCCUACAAACACUAGCACCUGGUUUUGCUCUGCCAAGUCAAACAUUUCUUUCUUUCUCCCUCAAGCUUCUAUUUAUGCUUUGGUCAGCUGGAACUGAGUCAGUGAAACGAUGAUAAAUCGGGUAUGAAAACAAAUAAAAAGCUCGACUUGGAUCGCUCACUGACAUCUACUGAACUGAGUUGACCAUUCCCCUCAAGUUCUAGAUUGCAGCAGUCCCAUGCUCAAGCAGACACUGGGAAACUGAACGGAAAAGAAAUGUAAAGCUAAGCCACAGUUGUGACUUGCUCAGACC